rnacentral:lncRNA from 1 species
AACAAAUACUUGUGUUCAGCAGUUUGCUUUUAUCAUCUUUCCAAAGCAUACUUUACAUAAGAACAAUUUUACAUAAUAUUUAUUAGCAAGAGCAACUGGUUAUAAACAGGCAAAUUCAUUUUCCGUAAGUAUUAUGACUCUGUGAGUGGAAGUGUGCAGGGCUCCUUGAGUGGCCUGCAAGAUGUGAGCUUUCUACAGCCACAAUUUACUGGGCUUUACAGGAAUUAGUGCUACUGAUUUAUCAGGCCCUGCAUUUUUUUCUAGAUUGGCAGCUCUGCCAUGAAUAUAUGUUUGUUGGUUAUCGUUAGAUUUGAAUUUGGCAGUAUGCACUGCAUUCAAUAGGUGUUAUGUAUGAAAAAUAACAGAAUGAUAGCUUAAUGAAAUAAUCUGUCAUGUAUAUUAUAUUCUUUACAG